UGGCGAACGGGUGAGUAACACGUGAGUAACCUGCCCUUGACUUUGGGAUAACUUCAGGAAACUGGGGCUAAUACCGGAUAGGAGCUCCUGCUGCAUGGUGGGGGUUGGGAAAGGUUUCGGCGGUUGGGGAUGGACUCGCGGCUUAUCAGCUUGUUGGUGGGGUAGUGGCUUACCAAGGCUUUGACUGGUAGCCGGCCUGAGAGGGUGACCGGCCACAUUGGGACUGAGAUACGGCCCAG
rnacentral:rRNA from 1 species